rnacentral:lncRNA from 1 species
AGAGAAGAGGAAGGAUCGGGUUCUUACAUUGGCUCCGACGGUGUCUCCGGCUCCAAUUUUUGGUGGGCACAAGAAUGGUAGGCCGUGACUUCAAUGGGAGAAAGGGAAGAGAAAGAGGCUUAAUGUUCAUCAGUGAAGGGCCAUAGGGAGAUGUGGGGGCUAUUGAUUAUAGAGAGCCCUAGGGUCCUAGUUACCCCAGGACUUCGACUCUUCCUAGAAU